rnacentral:rRNA from 1 species
UUACAUCUCUUCGGAGCAUUUUACGAGGUGCUGCAUGGUUGCCGUCAGCUCGUGCCGUGAGGUGUCGGGUUAAGUCCCAUAACGAGCGCAACCCUACCUUAGUUGCCAUCAGGUUAAGCUGGGACUCUAAAGGAACUGCCUACGCAAGUAGUGAGGAAGGCGGGGAUGACGUCAAAUCAGCACGGCCCUUACGUCCAGGGCUACACACGUGCUACAAUGGCCGAUACAGAGGGCAGCUACCUGGUGACAGGAUGCAAAUCUCCAAAAGUCGGUCUCAGUUCGGAUCGGAGUCUGCAACCCGACUCCGUGAAGUUGGAUUCGCUAGUAAUCGCGCAUCAGCCAUGGCGCGGUGAAUACGUUCCCGGGCCUU